UUAAAACUUUCAACAACGGAUCUCUUGGUUCUCGCAUCGAUGAAGAACGCAGCGAAAUGCGAUAAGUAGUGUGAAUUGCAGAAUUCAGUGAAUCAUCGAAUCUUUGAACGCACAUUGCGCCUCCUGGUAUUCCGGGAGGCAUGCCUGUUCGAGCGUCAUC
rnacentral:rRNA from 1 species